GAUGAAGAACGUAGCGAAAUGCGAUAAGUAAUGUGAAUUGCAGAAUUCAGUGAAUCAUCGAAUCUUUGAACGCACAUUGCGCCCCCUGGUAUUCCGGGGGGCAUGCCUGUUCGAGCGUCAUUUCACCACUCAAGCCUCGCUUGGUAUUGGGCAACGCGGUCCGCCGCGUGCCUCAAAUCGACCGGCUGGGUCUUCUGUCCCCUAAGCGUUGUGGAAACUAUUCGCUAAAGGGUGUUCGGGAGGCUACGCCGUAAAACAACCCCAUUUCUAAGGUUGACCUCGGAUCAGGUAUGGAUACCCGCUGAACUUAAGCAUAUCAAUAAGCGAGGA
rnacentral:misc_RNA from 1 species